CCUACGGGUGGCUGCAGUGAGGAAUAUUGGUCAAUGGACGGAAGGCUGAACCAGCCAAGUAGCGUGAAGGAUGACUGCCCUAUGGGUUGUAAACUUCUUUUAUGUGGGAAUAAAAUGUUCCACGUGUGGGUGUUUGUAUGUACCAUAUGAAUAAGGAUCGGCUAACUCCGUGCCAGCAGCCGCGGUAAUACGGAGGAUCCGAGCGUUAUCCGGAUUUAUUGGGUUUAAAGGGAGCGUAGGUGGAUUGUUAAGUCAGCUGUGAAAGUUUGCGGCUCAACCGUAAAAUUGCAGUUGAAACUGGCAGUCUUGAGUACAGUAGAGGUGGGCGGAAUUCGUGGUGUAGCGGUGAAAUGCUUAGAUAUCACGAAGAACCCCGAUUGCGAAGGCAGCUCACUGGACUGUAACUGACACUGAGGCUCGAAAGUGUGGGUAUCAAACAGGAUUAGAUACCCGGGUAGUC
rnacentral:rRNA from 1 species